GACGAACGCUGGCGGCGUGCUUAACACAUGCAAGUCGAACGGAAAGGCCUCAGCUUGCUGGGGUACUCGAGUGGCGAACGGGUGAGUAACACGUGGGUGAUCUGCCCUGCACUCUGGGAUAAGCUUGGGAAACUGGGUCUAAUACCGAAUAUGACCACUUCUUGGAUGUUGUGGUGGAAAGCUUUUGCGGUGUGGGAUGAGCCUGCGGCCUAUCAGCUUGUUGGUGGGGUAAUGGCCUACCAAGGCGGCGACGGGUAUCGGGCCUGAGAGGGUGUAAGGACGGAUUGAGACGGAGGUACGGACCAAACGCCUACGGGAGGAAGCAGUGGAGAAUAUUGCAAAAGGGGAGCAAGCCUGGUGCAGCGACGCGGCGUGGGGGAUGAAGGCGUUCGGGUUGUAAGCUCCUUACGCUAUCGACGAAGCCACUUGUGGGGACGGUAGGUAGAUAAGAAGCACCGGCUAACUACGUGCCAGCAGCCGCCGUAA
rnacentral:rRNA from 1 species